GGGUUGGCCAAAAUGGUUAUUCAAGUGUUUCCACAAGAUGGUCCAGAAAAACCCGAACGGACUUUUUGGCCAACCUAAUAC
rnacentral:miRNA from 1 species